GGCAGGGGCCUGAUCCAGGCAAAAAUCGAGCACAGAGAGGCAGGUUUUGCAGAUCAGCAUCACAACCACUCCAUCUAGUGUAUCAGCCUCACACAGCAGCAUCUCCCUGAGAGCCAGAACCUCUCCCCAGCCAAGUUUUCCACAGCAGCCCCUGACAGGCAGCCGGGAGGUUAAAGACUCCUCCACAGACCUGUUGGAAAAUCUCAGCCUAUGGACAAUUCUCCUUGUAUCUAUAGCAGAGCGGAGCUGGAUCUGCUAAGGGUCCAGCACAUCACCUCUGCUGGCCACCACAGGCAGAUGGACUCCUACAGUAAUUGUUGCUAGAUGGAGAGCAUCCCUAGUUUUCCCACACUUGGUGGGCAUCAUAGUACAAAAAGGCCUGGAGAAUAAAGAUUUUCCACUGAACAAGAAUCAGAGAUGCUGAGACAAAAGGUAGUUUGUUGAAGUUAAAGAAGCAGAGCAGAAUCAAUGGAUUUAUCUAGAUAAAGGUAUCAUUUGCUCUGUUUGUGGACAUAAUGGCAGACUAACAUAAAAGAAGGUAUCAAAAAAUUCAGUGAAGUAAUUUCUUCUGGUUUUGAUGGGGAUCUUUUACAUUUUAAACCAUUUCAAUUUUCCUUUGGUAUCUGAGUCAGUACUUUUUCAUCUUGAUUUCUCCUGGCCCUUCCUACUCCUCUUGGUACUAUAAUAAGGGCCCUAGCUGUGUGGUGAGAGGUAAUACAGCUCACAUCAGAGAAGAGCUAAUACACUCCUCUCUCCUGCUCACAUGCAGCAGAGGAAGUGAUGCACAGAUAAUCAUGGACAAUCCCAUCCUCUUUCUGUCCUUACCUGAGUAACAAGGAGCCAAAGCAGGGCUCUCCUCCCAAGAGAAGAUCCUCUUCUCCGAAGGUGGGCUGCCUGCAGACUCCCACAUCAUCGGGUGGACCUUCAUAGGGCUUUCACAGGAUAAAGGUGGAAGCUGCUGUGUAUUUUUACCUACUAUGGAAUUGCUGCAGAUGCUUUGUACUUGCUCUUUGUUUAAUUUCCCUUGGAAAACAAUCUCAUAUUUAUUUUGAUCCUUAUUGACCCUGGCCAAUCACAAAACCUGUUAAUGCAUCUCAUCCUUGUUAAUGCAUCUCAUCUCUACUUACAUCAGGAUUUUCUUAACAGGCUGGAACAGAAAAAAGCCAAACUGCUCCCAAAGGGACUUUUGCCUUCUACAGGACUG